rnacentral:ncRNA from 1 species
GCGUAUAUUAAAGUUGUUGCAGUUAAAAAGCUCGUAGUUGGAUUUCUGGUUUGAGCGUCCGGUCGACUUUAUGUCAGUACUAUGGAUGCUUGGGCCAUAUUUUGUGAGGAUGCCUUUCUGCCAUUGAGUUGGUGGUUAUGUGGACUUGCAUCGUUUACUGUGAAAAAUUUAGAGUGUUUAAAGCAGGCGUUUGCUCAUUUGAAUACAUUAGCAUGGAAAAAUAAUAUACGACUUUGGUGGUCUAUUUUGUCAGGGUAAUGAUUAAUAUGGCACCCUUUACGGUUCAAGUCCUCACCUUGUCAGAGACUUGUAUAAAAACCAACAUACGACAUUUGAUCUUUGUAUUGAAAAUGAAGAGUCAUCUACCAAAGAGAGCCUAC